GCUAAUCAUGGACUUCAUUUGAGGAGCGCUCCUCCCAGAGUCGUUUUUGAAUACCUUUUCAUUUAACCAACCACAGUCCCUGCUAAAAUAAUAUGCAUUGGGGGCAUGAUGCAAAGCGGCACAGGGCUGCUCCUGCUGCUGCUGCUGCUGCUGCUGCUGCUGCUGCUGCUGUUGUAGCGAUAGCAGGAUGCUCCACCGGGGGAAGCUAAAGCAUUCUGUUUCGCUGAGUGAUAGCCCUGUCUCCACUCACCAUAAACAACACACGCAAGCAUACAAGCGUCUGCCAACCUAGCGGCGCCUUCCUCCCGUUGUGCCCCCGCCAGCCAGCCACCCUCCUUGCGAAUCUACAAAUAUAUUAUCUGACUCUUUUUCUAUUAUCUUGGGAAAAUGGCAAACAGGGGGGUAGCUAUAUGUGUGGGAGUGCCAAAAAAACAACAACCCUUGGGUACUUUCACCUUGCUUUUGCAAUAAAUUGGAACAUCAGAUGACUAAGGAUGGAUUUAUUCGCUUGUGACAUUGCCGUGCCCAAAGUGCAUGUCACAAAAUCAAAUGGGCGGCGACGUUAGCGUAGCAGCUACGAUUGCUCCCUGCGUCUCUUAACACAUCCCUAAGAAAUGAUCAAGUGUGACUUGAUUGUUACUCAAGUAAUCGAUAAAAUGCUCGGAUAGGAUCACCGAUUUUAAAAACAGCCCCACGUCCAUUGUAGCGCCGCAACUUUGGCCAUGUUUUUGGAAUUCCCUCCAUAAUGCUCACAAGAGCAAAACAAGGCCACACGGAGAACGCAAAUUUUUUUUUUCCCCAUCAUCCCGAUGAUUGACUAAUUUCUGCUCAUUCCACGUCAUUCACUCAAAUGAAAAUCGAAAUAGAUUGAAUUCUUGAAUAGGGUGGAUAGAAAAGAAGUCUUCAUUGUAAGAUCUUUCUCACAGAUGGAAGCUGCCAGUUUGUCUUCACAAUAUAUAUGAUGCCACUGUACCUGACGAUGGCAAUAUUAUACGUUACGUAGCCCUUAGAAAUAUAUAUAUAGCACACAUCUGCCGUUUCUAUGUCACAUUCUUCACACGUACAAACGCGCACGUUCCCGAUGGUCCUGUACGAGAUCAGAGUCUCGGCAAGUCCCUGGACUGUCACUCAAGCGCAGAUACCUGAUGUGGGCGGGGCCGGCCGCAACUCUCAAAUCUGGCAAGUCAAAUGUUUUUAUUUGCAGGCAAAGCAAAGUCCCAGUGUGUGUGUUUGGCUUUGCGUAGCAUAUGCGGUGCGCCAAGGAGGGCUCGCUGGAACAUAUUGCUGCUUGUACAUAGUGGUUAAUAAUAGUAGCAAACGCACACAGCCAUGGCAGCUCUGAUGUGUGUGACAGUUUUACAGCCGCACACACACACACACGCCCACGCACACAGACCUCCUCUGCCACCCGGCUCUGUGUCUUUGUUGACUUCUCAAUUCGAUCACAAAUUCUGGAAAAACAGCGACUUCCCGGCGACCUCACCUCACCCCUCCCCUCCCGUCUCAUUUUUUUAGGCACAUAUAUAGGCGAGCGUUGCCAUCCACACAACAGAACAGUGAUACAAAUGUACAUGCUUAACACCCCCCCCAUCCAUGAAAGCAAAGUCCUUGAAGCAGGCAGGAAUUCACGCAGAUCAUACACUCAAAUGCACCCCCCCCCCCCUUCUGUCAUGGCUCAUUGUUGCUUUUGCUUGUUUGUCUGCGACAAUGCUCGUGUUGUACUGCGGUGGCAGCUUUAUGGUUUGUUAAAGGGGGUGGGGGGGGGGGGCUCAGUGACUGCUCCCCAUGGCGAGGUCUUAGCAACAGUGUGCAGCAGCAGACGCCCGACUUGUGGGCUGGCAUAGGGAGACAGACGGAUGGAGUGAAGGAUGGCAGAGGAGCAGCUCGGACGUCAAAAACCCUUCA